UACAACCAUAUCACAUUGAAACAGCGGCUCUAGUACGAUCACCGAAGUUAGGCAACGUCAAGCCUCGUCAGUACCUAGAUGGGUGAUCGUUUGGGAAUAUCAAGUGUUGUAAG